AUUAAUACUCUGAUUUCUUGUGACUAGCUAGUCAAUACCAUUACAAAUGAACCGGGUUCAUCCAAAAAGACACCUAUCAAUAGUAAAGUCAAGGCUCUAGUUCAGGAAAGUUAGGCCAAGGAUGCUGAGAUAGCUAGGACGAAGGCUCGUUCAGUAGAGGUUGAAUCUGAGAGGAUGCUCCCAGAACUGAGCAUACCAAGGAAAAGGAGAAGAAUGAUGGGAUCUUCAUAAUAUGUUGAAUAUUCUCUAAGCCCAAAAUCAACCCUCUAGCUACCUCAAGCCUUAGAAAUUCCAGCCUUUAUCUCCUGAACCUGUCUAGUACCAUCAG
rnacentral:lncRNA from 1 species